CCAAGUCACUUCUAAAGCUGAACCAUUGCCCACGAAACCUGAAAUGAUAGAAUAUCAACAGGCAACACCACUCCUCUUUCUUUGAUUUUCUCUUUUGCACUUUUCCCAUCUACUUUCCCGGGGAUUGUUGAGAAAAAGGGCUUUGGGAAGAUUUGCCGGUUUCACACCCCUAAGCUUGGACUUCCCCCCACCAAAGAUCAAAGAUCUCGGAAAUGGAAUUCCAGGUCCACGUGCCCCCGCUCGCAUCAUCAAUCUCAUGCAUGAUGAUGCUCGUAUUCAAUCCCAAUCCUGAAAUCUCAUCAUGAUGGCCCUAGAUCCAACGGUGGGAUUUCGCUUGGCCACGAUCAUGUGCGAAUAGAUGCACACAUUCCCCCCCUCACGUAAUUAUUGAGACAAUGAUCCUCACCCACCAUUAACCCUACAGCUGGGUUCCAGAAAUGACCACGACCCUGGGUCCCACCCCUCCCUCUCUCUCUCAUCGUCAUCACCAUCAUCAUUCACCGCAUUCACAUUCAUAAUAUGCAGAGACGAGCAUCUCAUUCAUUCAAUUCAACUGGGAAGAUCAGAGACUAAUCAUCAGAGAGAGAGAGAGAGAGAGAGAGAGAGAGAGAGAGUUGAAGAAGAAGAAGAAGAAGAAGAAGAAAUGGGAAGCUCAGGUUUUGUGGGGAAUGUUGUCUGGUUCAAGGCUUCCAAGAUUCUUAGAGUACUACCCAUCAAAGAUUCAACCUUGGAUUUGUUCCAAUGUCCUCGGACCAGGCUUCAUUCCCCUCAAUUCUUGCUUCCCCUUAGCUUCCAGAUAAUGAUGGACAAAAUCCCCCUCAAGAGCAGAGCAGAGCAGACCAAAGCACCUUCAAGCGCCCUUUGGAUCGAAUCGAAAGUCACAGAGAUCCCCCAAGUUCUUCUGCUCGUAAUUGCAUUUGCAUGGGAUGGAGAGGGCCUCCAUGUGUUUGCCAGAUUGGUGUAAUGAUGUAGAGCUUUGACUGUCGUUAAGCUAUGGCCCUUUGUUAUGUCUGACACCCUCAGACCGACCACAUUUAAAAAACAGAAAAACAAUCCUUCAUCAUUAGUUU